rnacentral:lncRNA from 10 species
UUUUAGAGCACUAACUAGGUGCACAUAAAAUUAAAUUAACUAAUUAACACAAAUGUCUGCAACUGCUCUCAGGGUGAUCACUCACGGAGGGAGCACACCUAGUAACUUUCAGACCAAGUUCUCCUUUUCCCAGACAGCUGCAUAAAUGUGGGGCUACAAAAAGCCCAAAGACGAACAUGAACUCAACAACGCCAUCCCAGAAGCCCCCAUGCAGAUGAUGGGGCCAACAGAGCAAUAUGCUAUCAGUGCUGACCUUGCUAAGGCCUGACCCCUCACUCCUGGAAAAUCUUAGACCCUUUCUUAGGAUACUCUUUCCUGAUUGGAACGGGGAGCAGCGUAGAAUACCUGCAUCAAGAUGCUUGGAUACAGGACGUAUAACAUUGGAAAGAAGCAAUUUACUCAUCUAGACUUGGAGAGUCUGGCUCAACAUCAAAUUAAAAUCAUGCUGGUGUUCACGUGAGGGUGCUUUUGUGCAAAGCUGGAGAAGCACGGGAUGUGAAGGGCCUUGCUGGAGGCAGAGCUCUGCAGAUGAACCAGAAGACCGCACCCGAACCCCCGUUCAGCUGCGAGGCAUAAACGCCUUCCCCUGGUUAGGAGCUGAUGCCUCACUGUGAGCUUGGAUGGCAAGUUCAUAGAGGCCAUCCACACGAAUGGGUUUAAUGGGAUUUCUUUAUCAAUUGUUUAAAGAGAGUCUUUAGCGUCCCUCAAUACCCUUUCCAGGAGGAUACACAGAAUAAAUUCCUGCUUGACUUUUAGAUCCCAGAUAAAACUACUCCCGCAGAAGAAUUAGAAUUUCUUUGUCAUAUUGGACAAUAAAAAUUAUGUAACUUACU